AGUGGUCUAAAAUUAGCACCAAGAUCCUCGAUGGACAUGAUUUUACCAUUUUCUGAAAUGAUCUCAAAAUUAGGUCUGGAAAGCCAGUUUGUCACAUGCACAAUUAAGCAAACAAAAAAAAACUUCAACAAAACAAAAAUCAAUUCACCCAGAUUAUUCCAGCAAAAGCAAGUGAUGUGCCUGAACCUUCCGGAUUCACAACUGCCUUUUCUCUUGCUGAAUAAAACCAACCUAAGGCUAAAUAUACAGUGGAUGGAUAGAAUUUAAAACCAUGAAAGCCUUAGGUCACCUGAAGUUAACUUUUCCUAGUUUACUGACCACUACCCUAGGGACCUGACUUAACAGUUGACCAAGGAAAACAGAAUUUACACAGCAAAUCCCAGCUUCCUGGUUUCAUCCAAAAAGGGCUUUUUGAAGUCUCCAAAAAGCCAAGGGCCUAAAAGGAAACAAAUUCUGCCCCACACAGAAGAGCAAUGUCAACAUCAUCCUGUGACGACCUUACUAGCGACGUGGUGGGCCCCUUGCGACCGUGCAGCUGUGCCCUUAACGCUGCGCAGCUGACGCGCGCCGCGGCCGGGUGUUUAUUGUACGCGAGGCGCGGAAAGCGCCCCACCAGGGGGGCGGCGGCGUCAACUGCCGCGAGGGCGAGUCGCGCUCCCCAAAAGCUCCCAACUAGCUUCAAGAGCCCCGAGGUCUAACUUCGAGCGUCAGGAGGACCUUAAGACCCCCUGACUCCCGUGUCUCCUGCUGAGAGGUUGAGCUUGCCAGCUCCACUUCCGACUGCUCAUGGAGCAGAAUCAGUGACCGAGGAGAGAAGGGCUGAGUGAAGAAACAAGUGUGAGUACCAAGAUGAUGCCAAGGGCUGUGAUUUCCUGUCAGGGAGGGAGAAGGAAUAGAAGUCAAAGGAAAGGGUAAGAAAAGAAAAUCCAAAAAUUACAAGGCAUCAAGUUCAGAGAGAAUUUUGGUAGAAAUUUUGAGACUAGGGCUUUAAGUCAGUCAUGAACUUGAGACAUACUGAAGCAAGAAGAAUGAAAGGAGAAAAGAAAAGGGAGGAAAAAAAGAAUAAUGGGACCAAGAAGGAUUUAAGAAUACUAUUAUCGGUUACCAGUUGAAUUCUGUUUAAUAUUCUUAAAGUAAUGAAAGUAAAGAUUCAAAUAACUUUUAAAGUAUCUUUGAUUACUAAAGCAAGUUUCUUGGAAUGUGAAAAUCGCCAAGAUGGCCCUGCCGGGCCUGGGUUGGGCUACUGCCUAUGGAGAUUCUGAGGGGUGUUAACCUUAAUAAUGGCAUGAAAUCAGUAAAAAUAAUCCAAAUGCUUUU